AAGUCGUAACAAGGUAUCCGUAGGUGAACCUGCGGAUGGAUCAUUAACAGUAUUUUAUACUAACUCAACACUUGUGAACUGUAUGGGAUGGACUUAUCUCCUCCCAAUUUAUUAUUAUUUUAGACUGAAUAUCACUUUAUAUAACAAUUAUAAAACUUUUAGCAACGGAUCUCUGGGCUCUC
rnacentral:misc_RNA from 1 species